AGCGGUUGGCACAGGGCCUGGAGAUGGGGACCAGCCAGGCGUGCAGGGGACGCUGCCUCUCCUCCAUCCAACAACAAGCCUGCGUGUGCCCAGCUCCCUCCGGUACAUGCCUUUCUCCACAUCCUUAGAAUUGAUCAAUUGAAAAUAAGACCUUGGAAGAACCCCUUUUGAAGCAGACACUGUACAAGCCAAGGCAGCCCGAACGUCCGCCCCGGUUCCGGUGCUGAGGCCCGAACGUCCGCCCCGGUUCGAUGCUGAGGCCCGAACGUCCGCCCCGGUUCCGGUGCUGAAGCCCUAAUCCCCGGUGACUGCAUUUGGAGAUCACCUUUCAGCACGUGCCGGGGGGUGAGUGAGGUCACCAGGCCGGGGCCCUCAUCUGCUGCGGGUCCUUCUAAGAAGCCGAAGAGGCACCAGGCGGCCCCAGAGAGGGUCAGCGAGGGGCCUCCGCUGUCUGAGUCCGCUCCUGGCAACGCCUGCUCUCUGCACUCGGAGGCCCGGUCCCGGCAGCUGCCACGUUGCUCAGAAGUUCUGGCCGGGGGAGCCUGAAACCCCUGUCUGCUGGCGACACUCCCGGAGCUGCAGGAAAUCUCUACAUUUUAUUUUUUUUCUUAACAGACAAAAGUAUUUGACUCCAGAAUGAUUUCCAGGAAUUACAGUAUGAGAACUUAGUCCUUGAGAUUUUUAUUUUCUUCUUAAAACAAUGAAAAUGAAAUCAAAGCAGAAGACACUGGGUUGAGCAGACGGCACACUAGCACAUUCCACUUUGCAACAAAACGUGCGUGCUUCCUGCCCGGUCUACCUCAGAUGGGGACCACAGGUUUCAUAGCCUCUCCUCUGGAAGGACUUCAGGGCGGGAGGGAAGUGCUGGGGUAGGAGGGGCAGGCAGAACCUGGAAACUGCGCCCCGUUCUUUCUUCUUUCCUUUCUUCUCGGAACUCCACUGCCAGAGGGCUUGGAGUGCUUCUUGGGGAUCUGGCAUCUGCUUCUCCUCUGUCCCUCAUUCAGAGUUCUCACUGCAAGAAAAGCAAGAGAAAGGCUCAAAAAGCCCUUCAGACUUGGAGCCAUUCCACGGUGAUGAUUAAACCACCAAACAAAGGUGCUGGCAGGGCCAUGUCGAGAGGCACCUCUAGGAAAUCUCACACAGCCCACACCACUCCCCUCUCCUGCACGGCAGUGACCCUCCGGUGAAAGGGUACAGCCUGUUGUGCCAGCUUUGCUCUUGGGAUCAUUGCAGUCUCUGGCGUUGUGACUCCAGGUGGGCUCCGUGCCUUCCGGGACCUCUUUGUCCUUGUCAGGCCAGUGGGGGCCACAGAGACCUCACUGGCUUCCUAUGAAUAUUCAAUGGGAUUCGCUGUGGAGGGAGCUUCCAUAAAGCAGAAAGGGGUCCCUGGUGUUGGCUAUUAGUGUUAUUUUCUUUUAAAUCAUCUGUGCUCCUUCAAAGACGACAUAAGAAGCUUGUGCCUGGCGUUGCUGAAAUCUCUGGCUGUAGGAAUUAAAGCCUACGUGUCCUCCCGAUGGGGUGGUGAAAAUGUAAACGGUGAAUAGUGCCAGCCACAGGGAGCAUUGCAGAGAGUAACCAAGUGUGUGAUAAACAUGCUGCCUUAUGUGUGUGAACGGCCAGGAGACCAAUGCUUUUGCCUGAGUAACCUCUGCAAAGACACAGAAAUAA